rnacentral:rRNA from 1 species
GACCGAAACGAGUGAUCUACCCUGUCCAGGUUGAAGCCUGGGUAAGACCAGGUGGAGGACCGAACCGUUGAGCCUUAAAACGUUCUCGGAUGAGGUGGGGGUAGGAGUGAAAGGCUAAUCAAACUCGGAGAUAGCUGGUUCUCCCCGAAAUAUAUUGAGGUAUAGCCUCGUGAUAGACCGUCGGAGGUAGAGCACUGGAUGGACUAGGGCCCUCACCAGGGUACCAAACCCAACCAAACUGCGAAUACCGGCGAGUUGUUUCACGGGAGUCAGACAGCGGGAGCUAACUUUCGUUGUCGAAAGGGAAACAACCCAGACCAUCAGCUAAGGCCCCCAAGUCAUGACUAAGUGGGAAAGGAAGUGGGAGCGCCCAGACAACCAGGAGGUUGGCUUAGAAGCAGCCACCCUUUAAAGAUAGCGUAACAGCUCACUGGUCGAGCGAGCCUGCACCGAAAAUUUAACGGGGCUCAAGUCAUGCGCCGAAGCUAUGGGAUUUAUAUUUAUAUANAAUCGUAGGGGAGCGUUCCCUGUGCAGUGAAGCUGAAUCGAGAGGGUCAGUGGAGCGCAGGGAAGUGAGGAUGUUGGCAUAAGUAACGAAAAUGUGGGCGAGAAACCCACACGCCGAAAGCCCAAGGUUUCCCGGGCCAUGUUAUUCAGCCCGGGGUUAGUCGGCACCUAAGACGAGGCCGAAAGGCGUAGUCGAUGGAAAACCGGUUCAUAUUCCGGUACUUGCAUGUGCGCGUGAUGGAGGGACGCAGGAGGAUAGGCCGGCCUGGUGAUGGAUAUCCAGGUUCAAGGCCGUAGGCGGAAGUCUCAGGAAAAUCCGGGACUUUAUCUAACGCCGAGAGUCGAUGACGAGAGGCUUUGCUUCGCAAAGCGGUCGAUUCCACACUGCCAAGAAAAGCUUCUAAGCAUAGCAGAUGCAAACCGUACCCCAAACCGACACAGGUGGGCGGGUAGAGAAUACCAAGGCGCUUGAGGGAAAUCAUGUUAAGGAACUCUGCAAAAUAACUCCGUAACUUCGGAAGAAGGAGUGCCCGCUACGGUGAAGGGACUUGCUCCCUGAGCUUAAGUGGGCCGCAGUGACCAGGCCCAGCCGACUGUUUAGCAAAAACACAGCACUCUGCUAAAUCGCAAGAUGAUGUAUAGGGUGUGACGCCUGCCCGGUGCCGGAAGGUUAAUGGGAGGGGUUACCCCGCUUCUAAAUGGUUUUUAGAGAUAAAAACGCAUAUGCAUUAUGUUUACAUCAUUCAUAGCAAUAAUGACCAGUUCUACAUUGGAUACAGUUCUGAUUUAAGAGCAAGGAUAACUGCUCAUAAUGAAGGACGAACCAAGUCAACAAGAGGACGAAUAUGGGAGUUAGUUUACUAUGAAGCAUAUCUGGAUGAGAAAAGUGCUCGUCACAGAGAGAGAAUGUUAAAACAUGAUGGUCGCACUCGUCGAUAUUUGAUGGAGCGAGUUAAAGAAAGCGUAAAGAAUCAUUUAGUAGCGGGGGAAGCUCCGAACUGAAGCCCCGGUAAACGGCGGCCGUAACUAUAACGGUCCUAAGGUAGCGAAAUUCCUUGUCGGGUAAGUUCCGACCUGCACGAAUGGCGUAACGAUCUGGGCGCUGUCUCAAUGUGAUUCUCAGUGAAAUUGAAAUGGCGGUGAAGAUACCGUCAACCCGCGGCAAGACGGAAAGACCCCGUGCACCUUUACUGCAGCUUGGCAGUGAACUUGGGAGGAAUUUGUGUAGGAUAGGUGGGAGGCUGCGAAGGGGGGGCGCUAGUCCCUCUGGAGCCAUCCUUGAAAUACCACCCUGAUUUUUUCUGUGUUCUAACUUAGUCCCGUUAUCCGGGACAAGGACCCUGUCUGGUGGGCAGUUUGACUGGGGCGGUCGCCUCCCAAAGAGUAACGGAGGCGCGCAAUGGUUCCCUCAGCCGGUUUGGAAAUCCGGCGCAGAGUGCAAAGGCACAAGGGAGCUUGACUGCAAGAGCGACAGCUCGAGCAGGUACGAAAGUAGGUCUUAGUGAUCCGGUGGCCCCGUGUGGAAGGGCCAUCGCUCAACGGAUAAAAGGUACGCCGGGGAUAACAGGCUAAUCGCGCCCAAGAGUUCAUAUCGACGGCGCGGUUUGGCACCUCGAUGUCGGCUCAUCGCAUCCUGGGGCUGAAGCAGGUCCCAAGGGUAUGGCUGUUCGCCAUUUAAAGCGGUACGCGAGCUGGGUUCAGAACGUCGUGAGACAGUUCGGUCCCUAUCUGCCGCGGGCGCAGGAGAUCUGAGGAGGUCUGCCCUUAGUACGAGAGGACCGGGGUGGACAGACCUCUGGUGAUCCGGUUGUUCCGCCAGGAGCAUUGCCGGGUAGCUACGUCUGGAACGGAUAACCGCUGAAAGCAUCUAAGCGGGAAGCCGGCUCCAAGAGUGAUCUCCCGGACCAUCAGGUCCCCAAAGGCCGCAGGAAGAUUACCUGUUUGAUAGGCCGGAAGUGGAAGCAUGGCAACAUGUGAAGCUGACUGGUACUAAUUGGCCGGGCGGCCUGACUUA